rnacentral:tRNA from 1 species
CAAGCAGUAUCUGAGUGGUAGAGUUUUCGCCUGAUAUGCGAAAAGGUCUGGGCGACUCCCGGCUGCUUUG